ACAGUUCUAUAGAUUGGAUUUCGCUAAAAACCCACCAAAUGACACCUCCCACUAUGUUAUGAUGUUGCCUAAGUUUUGGACUCCAUCCGAUAUUGAUUGGUCCAUGAAAUUGGACAAUUCAUGUUCGUACGAAGUUCGUUAAGAAAUGGAGUGGUUGGUGUAUUUCAUAGUUUUAGCCAUUGGAUUUCACUCAGAACUCACCAAAUGACUCCUACCACAACAUUAUGAUGUUCCCCAAG
rnacentral:lncRNA from 1 species